rnacentral:rRNA from 1 species
UGCGUAGGCGGCCUGACAAGUCAGAGGUGAAAGGCUACGGCUUAACCGUAGUAAGCCUUUGAAACUGACAGGCUUGAGUGCAGGAGAGGAAAGUGGAAUCCCUAGUGUAGCGGUGAAAUGCGUAGAUAUUAGGAGGAACACCAGUGGCGAAGGCGACUUUCUGGACUGUAACUGACGCUGAGGCACGAAAGCGUGGGGAGCGAACAGGAUUAGAUACCCUGGUAGUCC